GUACACUCCUGCGGGAGGCAGCAGUGGGGAAUCUUGCGCAAUGGGCGAAAGCCUGACGCAGCCAUGCCGCGUGAAUGAUGAAGGUCUUAGGAUUGUAAAAUUCUUUCACCGGGGACGAUAAUGACGGUACCCGGAGAAGAAGCCCCGGCUAACUUCGUGCCAGCAGCCGCGGUAAUACGAAGGGGGCUAGCGUUGCUCGGAAUUACUGGGCGUAAAGGGAGCGUAGGCGGACAUUUAAGUCAGGGGUGAAAUCCCGGGGCUCAACCUCGGAAUUGCCUUUGAUACUGGGUGUCUUGAGUAUGAGAGAGGUGUGUGGAACUCCGAGUGUAGAGGUGAAAUUCGUAGAUAUUCGGAAGAACACCAGUGGCGAAGGCGACACACUGGCUCAUUACUGACGCUGAGGCUCGAAAGCGUGGGGAGCAAACAGGAUUAGAAACCCGGGUAGUCCCAUGAU
rnacentral:rRNA from 1 species